CGUCAGUUACUGCACAAGGUGAGUAACCUCUCGUUCUCAGAGUACUGCGUCUAUGGGUGCUCCCCUUCCGGUGACUACUGAGCAGCACCCUGAGCUGGAGCAGGGGGGGCUUUGGAGUCAAGUCCAAGACUGAAGACAAUACAACAUUUCCAACACAGCAUCUGAUCUAGCAGUCUGGACCACAGAGUAAUGCUUAGAAAAGAUGAGUCCGGAGCCAUGGACACAGGAUUAGUACUAAGAGCAUCUGGAGCCUCAGCCUUACCCACAGUGGGAUAAGAUGAUGCCACAGCAGUCUUGCUUUGCAAGGGGAUGUGACGGCUAGAGGUACUGUACUCAAAAGAGAACAAGAUAUCCUCCAUGAACUUUAGCCAAGACAGUCAAGGAUGCAACCCCAUGCUUGGGGUGACCCUAAACUUCUCAUUGCCAGAAGCCAGGAGAGGAAAAUUGCCCUGCUCUCUUCACUCUCCCAGAAAUUCUGCUAUUGGCCACUGUUGAAGACAGGAUACCAGGCUAGACCAGCCACUGGUCAGACCCAGUAUAGCAGUUGUUACAAUGUUCUUAUUGCAGAUAUAUGCCACUGAAGCUGCUGUGCACCUAGAUACUAGAAUGCUCCUUAGAAAUGAAGAGAUAGCCAACAUACUUACACAAUGAACCAGACGUAGUCCGCCUUCUGUUUAAACUUCGUUUGGCUUUUUCAGAAG